GGGCCAGUGGCGCAAUGGCUAACGCGCCUGACUACGGAUCAGAAGAUUCUAGGUUCGACUCCUGGCUGGCUCG
rfam:Danio rerio chromosome 4, GRCz11 reference primary assembly.